GAUGAACGCUGACAGAAUGCUUAACACAUGCAAGUCAACUGUGGCGGACGGGUGAGUAACGAGUAAAGAACUUGCCUCACAGAUAGGGACAACAUUUGGAAACGAAUGCUAAUACCUGAUACUGUGAGAGAGCUUUGCGUCCCAUUAGGUAGUUGGAGAGGUAACGGCUCACCAAGGAGAUGAUGGGUAGCCGGCCUGAGAGGGUGAUCGGCCACAAGGGGACUGAGCACCUGCCCUUACGCCUACGUGAGGCAGCAGUGUGGAAUAUUGUACAAUGGACCCAAGUCUGAUCCAGCAAUUCUGUGUGCACGAUGCUUUUUUCGGAAUGUAAAGUGCUUUCAGUUGGGAAGCGGUCCCAACAGAAGAAGUGCCGGCUAAAUUCGUGCCAGCAGCCGCGGUAAUUC
rnacentral:rRNA from 1 species